AUCAGGUUAGGAAUGUGCAAAAGAAUGAGAUGGGAAGAGGAGUUGCUUAGGAUGGAGGGGGAUAAAUAUGCUACUAAUGCAGGGCCCUAACUGGUCCCUGCAGAUCCAAUCUCACCCUCUCCAAUGUGUUUUCCACACUGCGCCAGAGUAGCCUUUUUCAAAAUGGGACUCUCCUCUUGGCUUUUCUAUUUAGCAUGCCAGCAGGGCGCCUCACAGGACCUGGCUUCUAUCAUCACCUUCCCUGCUCUCUCUCAUCUGUUUCUCUCCAGCUGUGAGAAUAAACAUUGGUUGAGCAUCAACUAUGUGCCAGACACUGUUCUGAGCACUUGACAUAUAUCAACUCAACCGAUCCUCACCACAUUCCUAAAACAUCACCCAUUUCACAGGUGAGGAAACUAAAGUGUACAGUGGGUAUGAGGUAUAGAUAUGUGAUUGAGAUGCAAGUCAGUCCUGUCUGCCUUUUCCCCUCCAAAAAUCUGUAGCAAGAGAAUUCAUCCUGAACACAACACAUGGAUCACACUCUCUGCAGUAUUUCUACUCGGCUGUGUCUGAGCCAGGUACAGGAGUCCCUGUGUUUACUGCCAUUGACUUCGUGGAUGACCAACCCUUCAUCUGCUGUGACAGUGAAGAAAUGAAGGCAAAGUCUUGCGUUCAGUGAUUGAUGGAGGAGCCAAGUUACUCUGAUGAUGAGACCAAGAUCUUUACAAGUUGGAUGAAAAUUUUCCCCUUAAAUCUGAGAAACAUGCAGUGAUACUACAAUCAAACCAUGAUGCAUGGACUGAACAAACAGCACCCACAAAAUCAAGUAGCUUGGUGCCUGGGAGAAAGCAGAGGGAAGCACUGCUCACCACCUCACCCCCGUCCCCAGGGACAGGAAGCCUCUCGACAACAGUUCCCAUAGGGUCAGGUGGGACAGGCGAGUGUGCACAAGUUAUCACAUGAGAGUAAAGCCUCGCCCAGUCUGGUCACAUGGGGAAUGGAGGCUGUUUGCCGUUACUCAUGAUUUCAGCAGUUCACUGGUCAUGGAUUCCACAGGUUGUAAGGGACAGAGCAGCUCUCCAUCUGCAGGCAAGUAAGAGGAGGCUCAGGGCAGUGAGUGUUGGAGAAUUGGCCCUCAUCGCACUUGGAGGAAGGAAAUAGAAGGUAAAUUGGUGGGUCCUGCUUCCUUUCCAGGAUUCUGCUUUAGUAAAAGUCCUUAUUAUCCUCACUAAGAUAGUAAGAGACUCGCAUGAAUUAAAUCAUUCAAAUCUCAUAAAAACCCAGUCCCAUUUUCAGACAAGGAAACUGAGGCCACUGAGAGGUAACUCAUUCUCAAUUGGCUAAGCUGUGACUCUAAGGAAACAGUCUGACUCCUGAGCCCAAGGUCCCCCUCUGUUAGGUUGACUCCUGUCCACUGUUCACCUGCCGCAUUAAGGGUCACCUCCUCCUGUGGACUCUGACAGCUUCCUUUUCCCUACCAGGCACUGCCUGGUUAGGAAUCUGUUGCAUUUCUCACGCUUCCUAUAGAUGAGUCCAUGGGGUUUGAAGUGAAAGGAGAGAUGGUUCUGUUGGCUGAUGGUUAUAUUUGCUGGAGGUGGCAGGAAUGGAGGGUCACAUCUGGGCUGUAUGGAAUCAAUGGUGUUUAUAUUUGGGGUGUGAGGUGGGCUAUCCUGAAGGGGUAAUAACCAGCAAUGCCAUGCAGAGUUUAUUCAUCACUGUUUUGUUUCACAGCCCGAAAGCACAGCCCCACAAGGACAUGAGAGACAGAAGGGUUCACUCAUCUCCUUCUAAUCCUGCUGCCCCUGACUUUUCUUCCAACUGCCUCCCUGGUGACAUCUGCUCUCCAAGGUGAAAACAUGAGGAGAGUUCUGGUCAUAUCCCUGCUCAUGGGCACUUCCUCUGCCUGCUGCUCCCUACUGGGGCUUCCUGGAUAGAGUGAGAGAAAAACAACUAGGAUCGGAAGAGAACUUGAUGUCUAUGCUGGUAAGGAGAAAGCAAGAUGUCUGUCUUCAGGAAAAGGAAGGGCUGCCCUAGAGAAGAGGAGUGAGAGGAGUUCCUGGUGGACCUUUAGAUUGGCAGCCUCUGUUCCUUGCCAUGUGGGUCUUUCGCUUCAUCAGAGCCUGCAGGAAGAGAAGACAGUAGACAGACUAGCAAGACAUAAGUCACAAUCUUAUAUGAUUCUAAUCAUGGAAGUGCCAUCACUGUGGCCACAUUCUGUUGGUGAUAAGCAAGUCACAGGUCCCUCUCACACUCAAGGGGAGGAGAUUCCACAAGCGACUGAUCACCAGGACGUGGGGAUAUUUGGGCACCAUCUUAGAAUCUGCACAGGGUUGUUCCAGGUCAGAGAAAGCAGGAACCAGAGGUUGCAAGGCCUCUGCACUACAUGUGUUCAUGCACAGGACAGACAGUCACUGAACAAGAUCAUUGUAACUGUGAGUCCUGUGUUAGACAACGUGAUCUGCAGAGCUGAGCUGUGUUUAUCAAAGGCAGUUCUGGAUACAAGAAUUAUAGUGUCAUUGGAAAGGUUUCUCUCGAGUUUAUGUGAACCUGAGAGAGCAUCCUCUCGGAAUGUUUCCCCCUUUACUUUCAGACCUCCCACGUCCCUAGGAAAACACCAUCACUAAACUGAAUUGGUUUUUCUUCCACGUGUCAUCCUGCCAGGCAAAUCCUGGCUCCCACUGUUUCUUCCAGCUAGCUUUCAUACAGGAUCCCACAAAGUCACUUCUUCUGAUUCCACUUUGUUGGUUUCUUCCCCUUCAUCCAGGCGAUUUCUGUGAGAUUUUAUUUCUCUUGUAUUGAUUAGUCAGCUACAUUAGGAAAUGAGUGUUCUCUGACUAAACUCCCCACUAAUCUUUGGACCAAAUGGGUGAAGUUUCCUCUCCAGGUCUCAGCUCACUUCCCAACUUCCCACACAGGGACGAGACAAAAUUAGUGGGGCUCCUGGAAGGCCAUAGAUUAGCACAGUUCCUCGUCACGACAAGACAUUUAGGUCACAAAGGGAUGUACUUUAAUUGUCUUUAUGCAGUGGGUGGCACAACAUCUGGUGCAUAGUUGGCACUCAAUAGGUGUUUAUAGAACUCCACUAAAUUGAACUCCCUGCCAAUCACCCAAAAACUUAUGAACCCGCCAACUACUCCUUAAGCUAUGGGCCCAAAGCCCUUGUUUCUUCAGGUGGGAUGCUGACCAUCUGGGGCCUUCUCUUUCCCACUGCAUUUUUCACACGCUCCUGCUCCCAUGACAAGCAGUUGAGUUUUACACUCAGAACUCUGGUCCUUUCAAGCCUUUUUCUCCAUCCUAAUAUCUUCACUAUUGUUCCUGCAAAGGUUUUCCCUGCCCACCCCCGCUUCUUCUCCAUGUAUCUCCGUUCAUUCUCACAUUUCAACCAGAGAGAGUCUUCCUAAAUGCGGAUCUGAUUAGGGUUCUCCCUGGCUUCAGUGCCGCCAUGUGCUGCAUGUUGUUCUCAGGUUAAAAGCCAAGGUUCUCCUCAGGCUGAGAUGGCCUUUGAGAUCUGGAGCGUGGUCCCCAUCCACUCCUGCUUUUUGUCACUGUGCUCUUCUCUAAUCACCCUGAUCUGCUAACACUCCUCCACACUCGCAACGUGUUCUCUCCAUCUGAGCCUUUGUUUGUGAUGCUCUUUCUCUAAAAGGCUUCCUUUGCCCACUUACUUGGAUUAAGUCUAUUCCUUAAUCCAAGGUCCCAGGUCUCAGUCUUGACUUUGAUUCCUCCUGGAAGCUGUUUCCCAACCACUAAUUAUAACAUGUUGCAUGUGCCAGGUUAUUCAACCCCAUUGUGAAUUCCUUGUUUCUCUUACUGAGCCCAGCAGAGAGUCUGCUGUCUAGUAACUGCCUAAUAAAUGUUUGCUAAAUGAA